rnacentral:rRNA from 1 species
CCUACGGGUGGCAGCAGUGAGGAAUAUUGGUCAAUGGACGAGAGUCUGAACCAGCCAAGUAGCGUGAAGGAUGACUGCCCUAUGGGUUGUAACCUUCUUUUAUAUGGGAAUAAAAUGCACUACGUAUGCUACUUUGUAUGUACCUUAUGAAUAAGGAUCGGCUAACUCCGUGCCAGCAGCCGCGGUAAUACGGAGGCUCCGAGCGUUAUCCGGAUUUAUUGGGUUUAAAGGGAGCGUAGGUGGAUUGUUAAGUCAGUUGUGAAAGUUUGCGGCUCAACCGUAAAAUUGCAGUUGAAACUGGCAGUCUUGAGUACAGUAGAGGUAGGCGGAAUUCGUGGUGUAGCGGUGAAAUGCUUAGAUAUCACGAAGAACUCCGAUUGCGAAGGCAGCUCGCUGGACUGUAACUGACACUGAGGCUCGAAAGUGUGGGUAUCAAACAGGAUUAGAUACCCGAGUAGUC